GGAAAUUCCAUUUCUUGCAUGAGUCCAAAUGGCAAGCAAAGCCCCAAAAGCUUAUUGCCAAAUAUAUAUAUAUAUUUUUUUUUCCAUAUUUAUGGAUGCCCACGUCUCUUUUCCUAGUGGCUGUGUGAGAAGACCUUAGAGAUUCAGAAGGAUCUUGCGCUGGAGUAACAACUGACCCUCAGAAGCACUCCAAGAGUGGAGCUCUGAUUCUUGCAGAACACCGAGGGAGAAUUCUGUCAAGGGGAAAAAAGGUGCACAGCACUAUCCCGGUAUAAUGAAACAGAAAACUGAAGUGCUUAACCCGAGAAGAUGAGAGAUGUACAAACCAAAUCUGUGAUGUGCACAGCAACCAAGAAAUGGCAAUAACUUUCUAGCUACGAGUCUAGGAUGCUCCUGUCAAAAGCACUGAUGACAUUUGAUGCAGCAAAUAAGACUGGAAGGAAAUUUCAGAGUCAACAUUUGCCCUGGAGCUUCUGACAAGCAGAUGUAAACUGAUGGUCAUCAGGAUCCUCUGCCAGUGGAAGAACAUGUCUCAGGACAUGUUGAAAUUGAGUUAUCAUUGGCUAAAUUGAAUUGCAAGAAAUCUGUGUGUGUGUGUGCAGUCCUUUGAACUGAAAGAGCAGAUACCCUGCAAGCAGAGAGGAAUGAAAACCUGUGAUGUGUUUCUGUGCAGGCAGUUCCUGAUAUUUGGGAACUGGGACCUAUGAUUUUCCUUACCAAGCUGAAAAGCUUAGUGUUAAAAGGCAAAACAUGAUCUAAUGAACAUGGAGAGACAAGGAAAAACAUGAUCUAGUGAACAUGGAGAGACAUAAAUACUCAAGAAAAAUUCUGACUGCUGUGAAUAGAAGCUUUAGGAAGGAACUGCCUCCACUUGCCCAAAUAUUUGUUCCUGUUCCAACACAGAGUUCCUUUAAGAGUUGUGAAUUAGAAUAACAGGCAGCUGUGACACUUCUCUUACAGAACCACUCAAAGUUCUCCAGACUCCAAACUGUACAAAGUAUUUAAUUUCUAGUUCUAAAAAGCAUAUUUAAUCUUUGUUUUUAUAAAGCUUUCAUAUCUUGUUUUGGAGCUUAAUUAAACUGGGAUUUAUUGGUGAUACAACAUCAGGAAACUUGCAAAGCUCCUUUAUUUUUCUGAGCAACUUUAAAUUUAAGGCUAAAAGUCUGCAAAGGCAAGUAUCAUUAUUUUUGUGUCACUCUCUGUACAUGAAACAGAAAUUUUAAAUCAGAUUUUGAUCCCAUAUAUAUAUACAAACACACACACACGUGUGUAUAUUUAUAGAUUUAUUGAUUUAAAAUUUAUGUUUAUGUUAUUUAAAGACCUCUUCCUCUACCUGAUGAAUAAAAAUAGAUUUACAACUGAAUGAAAAAUAUUACUUCUAUUUUUCUCUUUAUUUAGAGGAAUACAACUGAUUUCUAUAGUAGUUGUCUCUGAUUAAAGCUAGUGAGUGUACCAGAACAGCCUUUAUGUAUCAGGGUAUAGAACAGCAAGCUGAAAUCACCCAAACAAGUUUACUGUUCAAGCUAGGAUUUAAAAGUCCUGAAAAUCCUAUUUAUGUAAUUUUUAUUUCCCUUUAACCCCUUGGCAAUAGCUGGUAGGACUCCUGCCAUAAGCACUAAUGAAUUUUGCAUUGAAUUCUGACUCUUGGCAUUUAGGGCUUAAUAAAAUCUUCUUUUCCUUUAUCUGGAAGAUUCCUUUUCUGCUAAUUGGUGUCAACAUCAAUCAAGAUCAGAAGUGCAACAAC